rnacentral:rRNA from 1 species
GACGAACGCUGGCGGCGCGCCUAAUACAUGCAAGUCGAACGGUCUUUUCUAUGGAAGCUUGCUUCCACUGAGAAGAUAGUGGCGAACGGGUGAGUAACACGUGGGUAACCUGCCCAUAAGAGGGGGAUAACAUCCGGAAACGGGUGCUAAUACCGCAUAGGUUUCUUGGUCGCAUGAUCGAGAAAGGAAAGACGGCCUUUGUGCUGUCGCUUAUGGAUGGACCCGCGGCGUAUUAGUUAGUUGGUGAGGUAACGGCUAACCAAGACGAUGAUACGUAGCCGACCUGAGAGGGUGAUCGGCCACAUUGGGACUGAGACACGGCCCAAACGCCUACGGGAGGCAGCAGUAGGGAAUCUUCCGCAAUGGACGAAAGUCUGACGGAGCAACGCCGCGUGAGUGAAGAAGGUUUUCGGAUCGUAAAACUCUGUUGUCAGAGAAGAACAAGUCGGAGAGUAACUGCUCCGGCCUUGACGGUAUCUGACCAGAAAGCCACGGCUAACUACGUGCCAGCCGCCGCCGUAACAC